UGCUUUCAGCAGAGUGGAUGGAAGAUGACAGAACUGAGACCCAGAGAGGAGACAGAACUUGCCCAGAGUCGCCCAGCAACUGAAUCAGAGAGGAAGGAUUUUCAAAAGGCACCUCCAGCUAUUCUGGUGAUGGAAAAGAGUGGCUGCUUCCAAGAUAUACUUUUCGAGGCACCUCAGAAGAUCCUGAGGAACUGAGCCCCCAGUCACCCAUACUAGGGCCCCUCAUGGCCCACCCUUAUUCUGGCUCUUUCUCCUUGCCUGUCCUUCACUCCUGCUUCCUGGGGUGACUUCCUAAAUAAACUAUCAAUGAGCCUGUA